rnacentral:lncRNA from 1 species
GGCAAUAGCCAUUCUAAUUUUAAUUUCAUAUUUAUCCUUUACUUAUCUACUUUCUCUCUUUUGGUGAUAAAAGAAUAUAUUGUCAUUUUUAGAAUUUUAUUGUAGUCCAUAUCAUUGCCAAUUUGAUAACAAUAUUAUGAUGUGUCAUACUUAUUUUAUUUUAGAAGUGAAUGGAUUAUCUCAAUUCUUAUUUUUGAGUUUUAAAAUUUUUGAACUAUCCACA